UAUGGAGCUUCAAUUAAUUAGCUCAAAAGGAUUUAUUUACCAGACCGACAGGAACAACAUAUUCCUUCCAUGAGCUAGCAAUUUAGGUUGGGGCGACCUCGGAGUACAAAAUAACCUCCGAGUGAUACUAAUCUAGACGUACCCGUCAAAAUGCUCACUCACUUAUUGAUCCAAAACUUCUUUGAUCAACGGAACAAGUUACCCU
rnacentral:rRNA from 1 species